rnacentral:rRNA from 1 species
CUUGCCCUUCUGAUCAGUGGCGAACGGGUGAGUAACACGUGAGUAACCUGCCCUUCACUCUGGGAUAACGCUGGGAAACUGGUGCUAAUACUGGAUACGACCUGAACAGGCAUCUGUAUCGGGUGGAAAGAUUUAUUGGUGGAGGAUGGACUCGCGGCCUAUCAGCUUGUUGGUGAGGUAAUGGCUCACCAAGGCGACGACGGGUAGCCGGCCUGAGAGGGCGAUCGGCCACACUGGGACUGAGACACGGCCCAGACUCCUACGGGAGGCAGCAGUGGGGAAUAUUGCACAAUGGGCGAAAGCCUGAUGCAGCGACGCCGCGUGAGGGAUGAAGGCCUUCGGGUUGUAAACCUCUUUCAGCAGGGAAGAAGCAGCUGGGUUUUCUCGGUUGUGACGGUACCUGCAGAAGAAGCACCGGCUAACUACGUGCCAGCAGCCGCGGUAAUACGUAGGGUGCAAGCGUUGUCCGGAAUUAUUGGGCGUAAAGAGCUUGUAGGCGGUUUGUCGCGUCUGCUGUGAAAUUUCGGGGCUCAACCCCGAACUUGCAGUGGGUACGGGCAGACUAGAGUGUGGUAGGGGAGACUGGAAUUCCUGGUGUAGCGGUGAAAUGCGCAGAUAUCAGGAGGAACACCGAUGGCGAAGGCAGGUCUCUGGGCCACUACUGACGCUGAGAAGCGAAAGCAUGGGGAGCGAACAGGAUUAGAUACCCUGGUAGUCCAUGCCGUAAACGUUGGGAACUAGGUGUGGGCCUCAUUCCACGAGGUCCGUGCCGCAGCUAACGCAUUAAGUUCCCCGCCUGGGGAGUACGGCCGCAAGGCUAAAACUCAAAGGAAUU